rnacentral:sRNA from 1 species
AGCUUUCGCGAGGCAGCGCUUUGGCUCCCGGACCUAGGUGGGCCAGGGUCAGGAGGCCGACGCAGCGGGAGGAAGCCGCGCAGUCGGGCUCAGGGAGCUGGGAGGCUGGUUCCGGGGCGUGGUUUCCCCGCCUUGAGCCAGGAAGAAGAUGCAAGUCAGCCCCAUCCGUAUCCCAACUGUUAGCAAUGACAUCGACUGGGAUUUCUGCUUCCGUAUGUCACAGCAAACCGAGAUCCCAGCUCACCAGCAGACAGAUGAGUUGUAUCCCACUGGUGGGUGUGGAGAGAGUGAAGAGGAAACUAAAGCUAAAGAGGAGGAGAAGGUCAUAGACUGUAUGUCUCAUCCCAAAGAGAAAUUAGCCCAAUCCCAGAAGAAAGUAGCUCAGCUGAUUAAGGAAAAAAUGAAUACUCAAGCAAACAAGGAGCUGAUUCGAUGUGUCAUCCUUUCUCGGAUUAUUUUUGGGGACCAUCACUGGAAAUGUGCACGAGCUCUGGCCAACCUAGCUUAUGGCUACUUGACACUGAGAGGCCUCCCAGUUCAGGCCAAGAAACAUGCUGCAUCAGCCAAGAAUACACUGUUGACCUGGAAGGCAAAUAUGACCUCAGAUAAGGAGAAAGAGGAAAUCCUGGAAGCUCUGGUCAAGCUGUACUACACUCUGGGCGUGGCCUGGCUCCUGCAGAACCGUGGCAGAGAAGCCUAUUUCAACCUGAAGAAGGCAGAGAGAAACAUGAAGGAGCUGAAAGAAUUAUAUAAAGGAGGUGUUUGUGAAUUACAAGUCUCUGAGAACGACCUAACACUUGCUUUGGGCAGAGCCUCCUUGGCCAUCCACAGACUGAACCUAGCUCUGGCAUACUUUGAAAAGGCAAUUGGUGAUGUUAUUGCUGCCAAGGGUGAUAGUACGUCAGAUCUGAUCAGCCUGUAUGAGGAAGCUGCUCAGAUAGAGCAGCUGAGGAGGAACCACAACCAGGCCAUCCAGUACUUGCAGCAGGCUCAUUCUGUCUGUGUUUCUUUGUUCACUGAAGUCAGCCCCAAAACUGCAGAAACGAGUGCGUUACUGGCCAAAGCUUAUGCCGUGUCUGGAGAGGCCCAGCACAGGGAUGCUGUUGAGAUAUAUUUCAUAAAAAGCAUCAAUGCAUAUCGAGCAACAUUGGGCUUAGAGGAUUUUGAAACACUGAGCACCACUGAAGAAUUUUGCAAAUGGCUUGUCCAAAAUGGAGAAAAACAG